rnacentral:tRNA from 1 species
AUGUGUAGUUUAAUGGUAGAAUAUCAGCUUCCCAAGCUGAGGGCGCGGGUUCGAUUCCCGUCACGU